UACAGAGGGGGCAAGCGUUGUUCGGAAUUACUGGGCGUAAAGGGCGCGUAGGCGGCCUGUUAAGUCGAACGUGAAAUCCCCGGGCUCAACCCGGGAACUGCGUCCGAUACUGGCAGGCUUGAAUCCGGGAGAGGGAUGCGGAAUUCCAGGUGUAGCGGUGAAAUGCGCAGAUAUCAGGAGGAACACCGAUGGCGAAGGCAGGUCUCUGGGCAUUAACUGACGCUGAGGAGCGAAAGCAUGGGGAGCGAACGGG
rnacentral:rRNA from 1 species